AUUUAUAUAAUUUAAAAUUAGAAUGUUGUGUUGAAGCCACAGCAGUGGUGAGAUACCUAUAAAU
rnacentral:tRNA from 1 species